GACGAACGCUGGCGGCGUGCUUAACACAUGCAAGUCGAACGGAAAGGCCCUGCUUUUGUGGGGUGCUCGAGUGGCGAACGGGUGAGUAACACGUGAGUAACCUGCCCUUGUCUUUGGGAUAACUUCAGGAAACUGGGGCUAAUACCGGAUAGGAGCUCCUGCUGCAUGGUGGGGGUUGGAAAGUUUCGGCGGUUGGGGAUGGACUAGCGGCUUAUCCGCUUGUUGGUGGGGUAGUGGCUUACCAAGGCUUUGACGGGUAGCCGGCCUGGGAGGGUGACCGGCCACAUUGGGACUGAGAGACGGCCCAGACGCCUACGGGAGGCAGCAGGGGGGAAUAUUGCACAAUGGGCGGAAGCCAGAGGCAGCAACGCCGCGUGCGGGAUGACGGCCUUCGGGUGGUAAACCGCUUUCGCCUGUGACGAAGCGUGAGUGACGGUAAUGGGUAAAGAAGCACCGGCUAACUACGUG
rnacentral:rRNA from 1 species